rnacentral:rRNA from 1 species
UUGGAGGGCAAGUCUGGUGCCAGCAGCCGCGGUAAUUCCAGCUUCAAUAGCGUAUAUUAAAGUUGUUGCAGUUAAAAAGCUCGUAGUUGAAUUUCGGGAUUAGUAGUCUGGUCGUGCCACUGGUAUGUACUGGUCUUACUGAUUUCUCCUUCCUGAAGAACUGUAAUGUCAUUAAUUUGGUGUUGCGGGGAAUCUGGACUGUUACUUUGAAAAUUAGAGUGUUUAAAGCAGGCUAACGCUUGAAUACAUUAGCAUGGAAUAAUGAAAUAGGACGAUCGAUCCUAUUGUUGGUUUCUAGGAUUGACGUAAUGAUUAAUAGGGAUAGUUGGGGGCAUUAGUAUUCAAUUGUUAGAGGUGAAAUUCUUGGAUUUAUUGAAGACUAACUACUGCGAAAGCUUGCCAAGGAUGUUUCAUUAAUCAAGACGAAAGUUAGGGGAUCGAAGACGAUCAGAUACCGUCGUAGUCUUAACCAUAACUAUGCCGACUAGGGAUCGGAUGAUGUUAAUUUAUAAUGACUCAUUCGGCGCCUUACGGGAAAC